CACUCUCUCUUAAGCUUAAGCUUGGAUUAUUUAAAAUAAUUACUGUAACACCUGUACUUUCCUUUAUUUUCUGUACCAGGCAGAAAUAAACCCGAGGACUACUUUGCACACUGAGAUUUGCAGGAAAAUGAGACCCUCAAUUCAGCCUGACAUUUCCAUUAGCACUUAAAUGAAUGGUAGCCUAGCAGCUCACAUUAGAGACUUCUCCUCUCAACUAAAUGUGACAGGAAAUUACCCCUGGCACUUUGGGGGACAAUUGUUCCUUCUCACCCCAUUUCUAUACACAAAAAGUCCCGCUGUUAUCACCUAUAUUGAUUUUAGCUCAAUUUGUACUAGAGAUAAAGGUUCUCAUUUUAAAGUUAAAAAAAAAAUCCCAGAUUAACUUAGUUAAUCUUUAGCACAACCUCAUGAGGGCAGUUCUAUUACUUCCACUUCACACAAGAAAGUAGAGGCAUAAUGUUUUACAUUCCCUGACUAUGUAGACUCUGUGAUGGCCUAAUUUGUUUUGUUUACUGCUGUUUUCUCAAAAUCUAGAAUGGUUGGCACAUAAUAGGCACUCAAUAAAUACUUGUGGACUGAAGUAUGCAUGCAUGCAUGAAUGAAUAAAUGCACAAACAACCCAAAGAUCACAUAGCCAACUGGGACCUAAACAGCUAUCUAACCCCAAUGCCUGUGUCCUUGGUGACCUCGGCACACAGAUGAUUCAGGUGGUAUGCCUGCACUGUGACCUCACUCUACUCAGAAGAAGAAGGGGCUGCCUGCUCAUUGUCAUAACCUUUGUGAAAUCAACAACCAAGGUAGGACCAGAUUUAGGUCCUCCUAGGGUUGUCGUGGCUACUUGUUUGGGUUUGAUAUGAACAAUCCGGUGAAGUGAAGAAGUAGGUAGUGUAAUGAAAUCUGAUAGAACUCUUAACUACCUAACAUGUACCCUCUCUCUGCUCCAGUUCCAUCAUCUGGAAAAUAGAAAUAAUUAUAUUUACCUCAUGAGGGAAUUGUGAGGGUUAAAUUUUAAAAUAUAGAUAAAACACCUAGCAUCAAUGUCUUGUACAUAGUGGGCAUUCAGUAAUAGUUUACCUUUUCCUCCACCCAUUUAACCUGAAGCUCUGUCCCCAUUUUUGGAUAGGCAACACAAUGCUCUGCUCUCUUCUUUUCAAGCAUAGUGGAGAGGGAAAAAGCCUGAACAAGAAGAUUCGCCCUAGGGGAUAGAGGAUGAAAAUGUACUGAAUUUGUACUGACUGUUCCUCUGCAGGAAUGGAUUUUCUUCUGUGUAUUGCUGACACGAACAGGAGACGGAAAUACUGAGUAGAAGAGGGCGGUUCCCUGGCUAAGGCUCCACCCUCAAGCCUGGAUACCCGCGGCCCUAAAUGAGAAGAGGCAUUUCUGUUUGGGGCCCAAAAAGUUGCCUUUUGACCCACCACGCCCCCUAUCCUGCCCCCAUAUAAACCCCAAACCCCAACCUCCAGAGCAUACCAGCAGGUGAGGAGAUACGAGGCAAGCCGACUGACGGGCAAAACAACGUAGCAGAGAAAGAGAGAAGAGGAGGGACGUCUGGACACCGAGAGAUGUUUGGCUGGGGGCAGUCAGAGCGGAGUCCAGCCCCUGGGCGGCCCAACUCCAGGGGAAGAUCACCUUCCCACUUCAUCCAUCCCCACCCUUCCAGCUCCCCAUCCAUCCUGCUGAAAGCCAUUUCCACCACUCAAUAAAACCUCGCAUUCAUCCUUCAAGUCCGUGUGUGACCCGAUUUUUCCUGGAUUCUGGAAAAGAGCUCGGAAUACAGAAAGCUGUCCCCUGGUCCUUUGCCCUUGUGAAAAAGCAGAAGGUCCAUUGAGCUGGUUAACACUCCAGCCGUCUGUGGUGGCCAAGCUGAAAGAGCUUUGUAACGCUGGGGUUACAGGCACCCACCUCUAGACGCUACCGCAGAGCCAGAGCCCAAAGCCCUCACCCCGGCCUCUGCACUUGCCCAUCUGCGUGCUCCCCCUCUCGCAAGGGGUUUCUGCAGAGGGGGCUACUGAACAGAUGGAAUCUUGCUCUCUUGCUCAGACUGGAGUGCAGUGGCGUGACCUUGGCUCACUGCAACCUCACCUCUCGGGUUCAAGCGAUUCUGCCUCAGCCUCUCGAGUAGCUGGGACUACAGGUGGGAGACCUCCACAGAACCCUUCCAGCAAGCUGUCUUCUAAAGCAAACAAGAAAAGGAAAGUCUGAGCAGUUUUGAUUAGAUUUCCCAGAAGUCAAAGCAAGGAAAAAUGAAAAAGCUUCAUUUCUCACGUUCUUAAAAGAGAGCACAGAUGUUGCAUCAUCUGGUUAGAUACCCUGAGAAUAAAAUCUGGAUCCAGUGAGAGGAAAGAUUCUGGGUGCUCAUGAAAAAAGAAACAAAACAAAACUUGGGAGCCUCUUGAGAGUGUACAGCAUCAGCCCUUGCCAACUCUUGUUUAUAUGCAUUUAACUUUCAGUUAACCAUGGGAAUAAUUCAUGAAAAUCCAAUCUACAAACAAAGGCCAUCCCAAUGUUCAUGUUAUUCUUUUCCCUAAGAAUCUUUCACAAGAGCUAUAAUCAAGUAAAUUAUGCUUUGAUUUGAAUUUUAAUUCAAUUGAAAAUAAAAAAUGAGGGCCGGACGCAGUGGCUCACGCCUGUAAUCCCAGCGCUUUGGGAGGCCGAGGCGGAUGGAUCACGAGGUCAGGAGAUCGAGACCAUCCUGGCUAACACGGUGAAACCCCAUCCCUACUAAAAAUACAAAAAAUUAGCCGGGCGUGGUGGCAGGUGCCUGUAGUCCCAGCUACUCGGGAGGCUGAGGCAGGAGAAUGGCGUGAACCCAGGAGGCAGAGGUUGCAGUGAGCCGAGAUCAUGCUACUGCACUCCAGCCUGGGCGACAGAGCAAGACUCUGUCUAUAAAUAAAUAAAUAAAUAACGAAAAGGUUGCCAUUGCCCUUUCUGGGGAAAGUGAUAAUGAGGAAAGACUAGAUUCUUAACCCAAGUCAGCUUUAGAGUCGGCAAGGGUACAAUUUGAGGUGAUCCAGGAAAACUCUAUUAGCAUGGUAUUUCCCAUACAGAUUCAUUUCUUUCAGGCCUGAAGUCUUUUUGGCACUUCUUAAUAAAAUCACAGAUACCUCUUGGACAUGAAAGCUUAUCCUUUAUCAAUUUCUAUCAGUUAACCACUCAGAUGAGGAUAAAGGCCUGAGUGAGAAAGGACAGAGAGAGGUUCCACAAAGAGAUAAAAGAUGAGUGGCCAUAAGGAGUCCUUGAAAACACACCUCUCUAGCCCAUCAAAAAAUGCAGCUCCUUAAACUCAAGUCCAUCUUACUAGCCUUUAGCAGUACCCCACCACUCUCGAAAUUUCCAGCAUUAAAUGUCUCGGAGCUAUAUAAAAGGCAGACUUAGGUACAAGUAGGAAGAGAUAUCAAGGGCUUGGGUAUCAUUUCAGCACUAAUGGAGCUAAUGGCAUGUAUGAAUGAACGUGAUGCGUGGUCUCCACGAUAGAUUGUUACAAUUGAGGUCCCACAUUUAUGAGAUUCCCAGUGAAAACAAAUCUCACAGCUUCACCUGAGAGAAACAUUACUGUCAGUCUCAGAUACAAAAGCCUGCUGCUAUUAGGUACCUACGCACCUGCUGAAAAUGGACCAGCUUUGCUGUAGUAGUGCAUGCAGGCAAAAAAAAAAAACAUAAAAAUAACCCAUUUCUCAACAAAUAAAAUUAAUUGGCAGUCAUCACGUUCCCAAGGGAUCAAGGGGUAAAAUCUUUGGCAGCAUAUUGCACAGUGGGCAGGGUGUUUUUGGCUUCAUAAAAGUGAUGAGAGGAGACAUCAGGCUAUUCUCUGCUCUUAGAAAUUAUUAGCUCUUUACUAACAUUUAAGAAUCCAUGGGGAAAUUUUUGUUCUGAAUUUCUGUUAGAAUAUUUAAUAUUAUAACAAUAAUAUUUAAGAUGUUGGUUUGAAGGUGGGGCACGGUGGCUCACGCCUGUAAUCCCAGCACUUUGGGAGGCUGAAGCUGGUGGAUUACUUGAGGUCAGGAGUUUAAGACCAGCCUGGCCAAAUGGUGAAACCUCAUCUCUACUAAAAAUACAAAUAUUAGCCAGGUGUGGUGGUGCACACCUGUAAUCCCAGCUACUCGGCUACUUGGGAGGCUGAGGCUCGAGAAUCACUUCAGCCUGGGAGUUGCAGGUUGCAUUGAGCUGAGAUUGUGCCACAGCAUUCCAGCCUGGGCGACAGAGUGAGACUCCAUCUCAAAAAAAAAAAAAAAAAAAAAAAAGAUGUUGGUUUGAGUGCCUUUCAUAAGUUAAGCAACGGGAAAACAGCUCAAAUUUCAAAAGAGCAUUUAGUUAAUUGCCUCUGCGAUAAGCCUUCGCUUUCCAGCCCAGGAGAGGGAGUCCAUAUGGCAGGAGGCCUUCCUCAUCUCCUGAUGUGCCAAGCUCUCACCUUUCCUUUAAUGCCUGUGCUUUCCAGCCCAGGAGAGGGAGUCCAUAUGGCAGGAGGCCUUCCUCAUCUCCUGAUGUGCCAGGGUCUCACCUUUCCUUUCAUUUGGCUGGAGCUGUGCUGUCCAAUACAGUAGUCACUAGUCACAUGUGACCAUUAAGCAAUGGAAUGUGGCUAGUCUGAAUAAAGAUGUGCUUUAAUGUAAAAUACACAUUUGACUGGGAGAUUUAGUUUAAAAAAUGUUAAAUACUUCAAAUUUUCUAUAUUGCUCAUGCAUUAAAAUGAUAAUAUUUAGAAUACAUUGUGUUAAAGAAAAUGUAUUUUUAAAAUAAUUUAACUGACUUAUUUUUAUGUUUUUAAAAAUGUGGCUCCUAGAAAAUUUAAAAUACAUGGCUUGCAUUUGUGGCUCCCAUUAUAUUUCUGUUGGAUAAUGCUGGGCUAGCAUUUCCUUCCAGAUGAGCACUCUCUGAAACCCAGGUGGAUGUGUUACCUGGAGAUGGCUCUAGUUAACCUGCACGGAUAUCAUUUGAGAGGGAGGAUCUCUGGUCCUCAAGCAUUGGCACACAGAUUAUUUUUCUGUUACCCCAGAGGAUGGAGUCAUGGAAAUCAAAGUUUGGCAAAAAGUGAUGCCUGCCAGUUAAUUUUAUUUGCUGGGGAAUGGGUGAUUUCUUGCCUGAAUGCACUACCACAGCAAAGCUGCCCCACCUUAAGCAGGUGUGUAGGUACCCAGGUAGCAGGCUUUUGUAUCCGUGACUGACAGUAAUGUUUCUCUCAGUCCCUAAGCUACUCCUUAAACUACAUAAGAAACUGAUUCAGGUGGGUCGAAGUGAGUUUCAUCAGGAGUAGGAGAAGGAAAAUGGCAGCAAAGUGGCCAGGGAAGAUGCUGAGGAGAGGAGCAGUGAACAGUGGGGGAUGCAGGGCCUCAGCAGGGGGCACGGGUGGAAGGGGGUGCAUUGGAACCUCACUGUGCCUGUCUGACAUCUUCUUCCUCUUUGACUUCUCCUUCCAUCUUUUCUCUCCUCAGUUUUUCCUCUGCUUUUAGAAUGAGUUAUUUUCAACAGAUUUGUACAAUGAAGAAAGGAGUUUAGUGUCACCCCUGGUCAAACUGGUCAAAACGUUUUUAGACAAUGCAGUAUAGGUAGAGUUCACCCAGCUCUAAUGAUACAGCAGCAAAAAUGCGGCGAAGCGGCAUUGCAUAGGCAGUCACGGUCACUAGGACCACAUCAUCCUUCUGGAAGAGAGUAUUACAGGGAGAAGGUGGAAAGAAAAUGAGAGGAGAAGCGAGUGUCUAGGCAGCUUGGGCUGCUAUCACAAAGUACUACAGAUGGGGUGGCUUAAACAAGAAACUUUUUUUCUAUACUUCUGGGGUCUAGAAGUCUCAGAUCAGGAUGUCAGGAUGGUCAGGUUCUGGUGAGGACUGUCUUCCUGGCCACCUUUAUGCUGCGUCCUCACAUGGCAGAAAGAGAGAGACCAAAAACUCUCUCAUAUCUCUUCUUAUAAGGGCACUGGCUGCAUCAUGAAAGGCCCACUCUCAUGAACCCAUCCAAGCCUAAUUAUUUCCCACAGGCCCCAUCUCCAAAUGCCAUCUAGUCGGGGGCUAGGGCUUCAACACAGGAAUUUUGAUGGGGACAUAAUUCAGUCCAUAGCACAAGAAGAGGACAGUCAGAAAAGGGGUAGAGUAGAUGCUGAAAAAAAGAGAGAUGGCAUGAGGAUUCCCAUUGUACUGUUCUCAUGUAUUAAAUGAAAAUACUAAUAGACAACCUAAAGACAUACUAAAAAUAAAAAAAAUUCUCAUACAAGUAUAUUUUACUACUAGUCUCUUUACACAUAUAAAACACAAAUAUUUUGUUCCAUUUCUAAAUACAUUACAACUAACAAAAGCGUUUAAAACUCUUUAGCAAAGUGGGGGACUUCAAGAGCCUCAAGUCCUAUUUGUAUUGGAAAGGGCCCAAGGCCACCCCAGUGAGUUUUCUAGAAUCUAUCACUAACCAUCUCACUCCUCUCCCCCCAUCUAGUCUCCCUCAUCUGUAACAGGAAGUGAUGUGUGUCCCCAAAGUCCUGACAGCUCUACAUGUCCCACACUUCACACACCUGUGGUCCCUCAUAGGCUUCUGCUGGCAGCUCAGACAGUCUUGCCAAGGCGGGUCUCCCUGAAGCCUGGAGGUGCUGUUAUCUGACCAGAUCAUCUCAGCCUUAACCCCACACCCACAGGAUCCAGGAAACCCAGAGAUUGCAACAAGAAAGGCUCUUCUAUGUGAGACGGAGGAAAAACCUGAUUAGCAACAGUGAGGGUAUAAACUCAUCACUUUCACCACUACUGAAGGGGUUUUUACAGUCAUACAUCAUUCUUCAUCAUUUCCCCUCUUUCUUCUAUGACUUAAAAUAGAUGUAAGUCAGGACUGAGAAUGAGAGUGUACAGUUCUCGCAAAAAGACUAUAGGGGAUGGCCGGUGGGAAUUGGGCAGGGUUAGAAAGGUUUAGUGAGAGGAGAGGCAGUCCCAGCAUUCUGCCUUCGGCUGACCCAGGCUGUACUCACUUUUCUAUGUCAGCCUUGAAAGACCAAAGACCCAGAAGAAAACAUGACCUUGCCUUUGGCCAUUUCCAGCUUCCUGUUCUUCAUACCCUCAAAACCUUUAUGCUCUGAGAAAAGUGACAUGUGAGAGUUACAUCAAAAAUGACUAAUAAUAGCUAAAUAGAUAACAAUAGAGGUGACUGUAGUUGAAGGAGUACCUUAAGAGACUGAGCAUUGACUACAUUUUUGGGGUGAUCUAGUCUCAUCUGCUACCAGUAUAGGAAUUAUUUCUGUAACAUCUCUUUGAUAAUUUUUUUUCUUUUCUUUUCUUUUUUUGAAACGGAGUUUUGCUCUUGUUGCCCAGGCUGAAGUGCGAUGGUGCAAUCUUGGCUCACCACAACCUCCGCCUCCCGGGUUCAAGCGAUUCUCCUGCCUCAGCCUCUUGAGUAGCUGGGAUUACAGGCAUGCGCCACCACGCUCAGAUAAUUUUGUAUUUUUAGUAGAGAUGGGAUUUCUCCAUGUUGACCAGGGUGGUCUCGAACUCCCAACCUCAGGUGAUCCACCUGCCCCGGCCUCCCAAAGUGCUGGGAUUACAGGUAUGAGCCACCGUGCCUGGCCUCUCUUUGAUAAUUUUCUAAGCAAGCGGCUCUCAGUCACUGGUGUCCCUCCAGCUCUUCAGAGGUUGGCUGCCAAUUGUAAUCAAUGAGUUAAAAAUCUGAAUUUUGUGAUCACUGCAGCUGUACACUGUCACAGAGAGACCUGACAGAGGGAACACUGCCAUACAUAGACUGGGAAAACAGUGGGGCAUCACUUGUUGCUAAUCAGAGCAAGAAGGAGUGGUUUCAUAUUAGGUCAACAUACCUAGAAUAUGUGAAAACAUUGCUUCACGAGUCCAAGACGUUAACACUUUUCUGUAAACAGUGAUGCAGGGCUGAAAAGUGACCCAAUGAAUAGGAGGAAGAGUUCUUUUAGAUUUUCUAAAUACUUCUUGCUAAAAAGGGAUGUUCCCCUUUUGAUUUCUUUAUGGGUGCCACCAAAAAGUAUGCAUUAAACAGAGAAAUGCUGAGAAGCACUGAUCUAAUUUCUGACCCAACUACCUCUAACAAUGGGAAAUAUACUUGUUGCUAGCCAGAUCCCAAGUAUCCUCCAUAGUCAUCUUCUUGUUCAUUCAUUCAUCCAAUAAUUAUGUUUGGGAACCUGCACAUAGAGAAUAAAUAAGAUAAAAUGUUGGCUCCACAGCUGCAGCUUCACAGUGAAGUAGGGGAGGGGCAGCACUGAGUUAGGCCCUAAAGGGCAUUCGGGAUUAGCCUAAACAAACACCUCAGCUGGGUACUCACUCGUCAAAGUUUACUUUUCCCUCUGCCUUUCAAGCUAAUGACUAAGGCUGCCAAGUAUUUACUCAACAAGAAAGACCCAACAAGGAUCACCGGUGAGGUGAUUAAAUACCUCAUUCCACCAGAGCCACCCAGGAUUGCUGUUUGGACUAAAAGACAAUGUCAGCUUCCUCCUCUGUACAAAUGCCCAUUACUCUGACUCACUAUGGGGCUGGUUUUGAAAGUUAUGUAUUAUUUGUCAGCAACCACCACAGAGUCCAGGGUCAUCUCUUGCCAUACUUGGACUUGCACAUACUUGGCACAGCUUUAGGACAUAUUCUUUAGAAAUAUAUCCCUCCCACUUAAAUUGACAAACCUAAACAAAACUUUUUAGGUUUUCUAUCCUUCUCUAGAUUUUUACAGUGAACGUUUGCAAAUGGCUAUUCUCCGAAAUAAAUGAUUCACUUAUUUUUUCUGUA